UUCUACGGGAGGCAGCAGUGGGGAAUUUUGCGCAAUGGGCGAAAGCCUGACGCAGCAACGCCGCGUGAGUGAUGAAGGCUUUCGGGUCGUAAAGCUCUGUCGAGGGGAAAGAAGUGUAUUGUGGCUAAUACCCAUUAUACUGACGGU
rnacentral:rRNA from 1 species